rnacentral:tRNA from 1 species
GGAGAGAUGGCUCAGUAGUUAAGAGCAUUGGUUGUUCCUCCAGAGGACCUGGGUUCAAUUCCCAGCACCC